AUGGUGUAUGUACUAAAAGUGAUCCAAAGAUGGAGAUUUAGUCAAAUCCUUCCACAACUCUCUCAUUCAUCCUUAUUCAUUAACUUCCCCUUUACUCACGCUUUUCCUUUCCUUCUUUAACUCCUUCAAAACAUCUAUCAAUCUAGCUCAUUUGUAAACAAGAAAACUUUGAAAUAAUAUUAUACUACUCUAUUAUAAUUUUGCCAUUUGAACAUCUCACCUACUUUUCUUGUUUGUUUAAUACAAUUUACAUUGAAGAUGGCGUCUCAAAAGGAAAGAGAAACUCAUGUUUACAUGGCCAAGCUCGCCGAGCAAGCUGAGCGUUAUGAUGAGAUGGUUGAGAGUAUGAAGAAAGUUGCAAAACUUGAUGUGGAAUUGACAGUGGAGGAAAGGAACUUGCUUUCUGUUGGCUACAAGAACGUUAUUGGAGCUCGAAGAGCUUCAUGGCGUAUUAUGUCUUCCAUCGAACAGAAAGAAGAGUCAAAAGGGAAUGAGCAAAACGUCAAGCUGAUAAAAGGCUAUCGUCAAAAGGUCGAGGAAGAGCUUUCCAAGAUUUGCUCUGAUAUUCUUGAAAUCAUUGACAAACAUCUUAUUCCAUCUGCUGGCACUGGUGAAGCUACUGUCUUCUAUUACAAAAUGAAAGGUGACUACUUUCGUUAUCUUGCUGAGUUCAAGACUGAUUCUGAAAGGAAAGAGGCUUCUGAACAAUCAUUGAAGGGCUAUGAGGCUGCUACUGCAACUGCAAACACUGAUCUCUCUUCAACACAUCCGAUUCGUCUUGGUCUUGCUUUGAACUUCUCUGUUUUCUACUAUGAGAUCAUGAACUCUCCUGAAAGGGCAUGUCACUUGGCUAAACAAGCUUUUGAUGAGGCAAUUGCAGAGUUAGACACUUUAAGUGAGGAUUCAUAUAAGGACAGUACCUUAAUUAUGCAGCUCUUGAGAGAUAACCUCACACUAUGGACUUCUGAUUUGCCUGAAGAUGGAGGUGAAGGGAAUGUGAAGGCUGAUGAACCAAAAGCUGUUGAACCAAAAUCUGCUGAUGCAAAAUCUUCUGAGGCAAAAUCUGUUGAACCUGAAGAAGCAUCAAAAGCUACACAAUAGUCGAUACACGCAACAAAUUACUACAGGAUUUCUUUUUUUCUUUUUCUCAGCUUUACAAGACACAACUGCUUUUGCAAUGGCCUCAUUUGAAGAAGAUGCAAUUCAUUGAAUGAUUAUCUGAUUUUUUAAAACUAGUUUGAGACUUAUUCGUUGAUUUUUUGUUUUUGAUUUACUCAUGUUGUUAGUUGUGGAAGAGUUAUCAUCUAAACAACAGGCACAUUUUGUAUUACUUAAUAGUAUCUUCUUUUUUUCU